AGGAUGAACGCUAGCGGCAGGCCUAAUACAUGCAAGUCGUACGGCAACACAGUUGCGAGCAAUCGCAACCGGUGGCGAGUGGCGCACGGGUGAGUAACGCGUAUGUAACCUACCCUUCUCCGGGACAUAACUCCGCGAAAGCGGUGCUAAUAUCCCAUACCAACUCAUCAAGACAUCUUCUUGAGUUGAAAGCAGCAAUGCGGUGAAGGAUGGGCAUGCGUCCCAUUAGCUGGUUGGUGAGGUAAUGGCCCACCAAGGCUACGAUGGGUAGGGGUUCUGAGAGGAAAGCCCCCCACACUGGUACUGAGACACGGACCAGACUCCUACGGGAGGCAGCAGUAAGGAAUAUUGGUCAAUGGGCGGAAGCCUGAACCAGCCAUGCCGCGUGCAGGAAGGAGGCCCUACGGGUUGUAAACUGCUUUUACCCGGGAAGAAACCCGCCCCCUGUGGGGGGCGUUGCCGGUACCGGGGGAAAAAGGAUCGGCUAACUCCGUG
rnacentral:rRNA from 1 species